GUAAUGCAUUGCUCAAACCAAAAGAGACCUUUCCAGAACCUGAGGCUAAGAAGGGUUGUAACAGAGGCCGUAUAAAAACGUUCCUUUCAGCCAAGUCCUCCUUAUUCUGAAGCUGAGAGUGAGAUAAAGGUGUGGUUGCGAAAUUCAAGAGACAGAGUGGGUGGACGAAAGAAGCGCUACCGCCGUCUGCUGACUAGUUGAGAGACCUUGGGGGAAGACAAACUGACUGCUGGGGGCACCCCUCCCAGCCAGGUGCACCAGGUGAAGCUGAUCUACUAAUUGGCAGAGCAAAAACAGAGUCAAUGUAGAGAAGCAGCAAACUUGCUAUUACUUGGACUGAAGCAAACUCUUUUGUGCAGAA